rnacentral:lncRNA from 1 species
GUUUUGCUUAUUUGAGUGCGCCAAAUCCGUUUCUGCAUCCAUUUUGUGCAAAAACGACUCCGAUUAAGUCCCACACUCUCCAGAUGUGUCUACCAGUCGCUAAUACUGUAGCCAAUCCGAUACAAAACCCCCGGGACACUACAAUAUAUUACAAUAUACUAUAAGAGUCCGGCUACUAUACUUUUAUGAGUAUUGGCUCUCUUAUACUCAUAAGUUUUCGGCACUUAGAUUUAUUUCAUUGAUCAUUUCCACCCGUUGGAUCAUACUAUUCAACCAACUACCCACUCAACCCUAGGGGACCACUAUCAUUCUAUGUGGAAAUCGACCUCUAUCAUCUUAACCACACAUCUCAUCAAUCAACGGUUAAAAAUUUAUGAGUACAAGGGGGUCUAUACUCAUAAGAGUAUAGUAGCCCCAGCCAUACUAUAAAAUCAUACAAUAUAUUAUAAAUGGUGUAUAUUUUACACUAUUUAUAUAAAUAUUUACACCAUUUAUAUAAAUAUUGCACUAUUAUGAGAGAAUAUUGCAUUAUUAAAGUUUUCAGAUAUUGUACUAUUUGAAAAAGUAUGUUGCAUUAUUUGAGAGAAAAACAGCAUUCUUUCGUCUUAUUAAUUAUAUAUUAUUUUUUGGCUAAAUUGUAAAAAAAUUUUCUGUCAAAAUUCAAUUUUUCACUUUUUUCCUUGUAAUUUAAAAACCUAUACUUUGCCCCCUUGUAAAAUAAAAAAUGUUCACAGAGGUUACGGUGUGAACUUUGAUGAUAAAAUGACCAUUUUGCCUAGCCUCUCACCAUUUUGCCCCUCGUCAUGUUCACAAGAAAGAAGACUGAGGGUAUUUUUGGCAAAAAAAAAAUAUAAUAAUAUUUUAUAAACAAAACCCUAACGGAUUACUAACAGCAUGAGGUGAAGUGAAUAUUUUUCAGUUUACAAGGGGGCAAAGUAUAGGGUUUUAGAUGACGGGAGGGAAAAGUGAAAAAUCGGAUUUUGACAGGAGAGUUUUAUGUAUUUUAGCCUUAUUUUUUUAUUUUGUGUUGAAUUAGGAUUCUCGUUUCAUGAGAAAGAUAUAUCUAAUUAUGGCUUAGCAAUUGUCAUUUUCAAAAAAUUUGACACUUUAUUUAAUAUAUAAUAAAAUUUAAUUUCAAAAGAAAGAGUGAAACACAUAUGUAAAUAAUGCAAUAUUCUCUCAUAAUAAUGCAUCAUUUAUACAAAUGGUAUAAAUAUUUGUACAAAUAGCAUAAAAUAUGCACCGUUUAUACAUAUAUUGUAUAAUUUUUAAAGUAUAUUAUAAUAUAUUAUAUUCUUUUCGCGUAAUAUACUAUAAUAUAGGUAAUUUAGUGUAAAAAUCAUACAAAAUGUGUAUUAACAAUGCAUAUGUUGCACUACUUAUACAGAUAUUGUACUAUUUGGAAAAAGAUGUUGCACUAUUUGAAAAGAUGUUGCACUCUUUCAUCUUAUUAAUUAAAUUUUAUUUUUUUUUAUUUUGUCUUGAAUGAGAAUUUUCGUUUCACGAGAAGGGUACAUAUAAUUAUAACUUAGCAGUUGACAUUUCUAAAAAAAUUGACACUUUAUGGUUUAGCAGUUGUAUUUUUCUAGACAUUUAAAAUAUAUCAUUUUUAUGCAUUUUGAAAGAGAGAUAGUUUGGUCAUCUUUCUAAAAAUUUAGUCCGAAUCUGUAAAGUUUAAAAAAACGGCCUACUUUUACAAAAACAUAAAACUAAUAGAUUUUUUAUACAAAUUGGCCAUUUUUUCUUGCCAAUCAUCUUUUAAUUAUAAAAUAAUUCUAUAAUAAUUUAUUUAUUGUAAUAUAUUCCGGAUGAUCCGUAAUCCGUCGACGAUGAGAAUACUCAGAGAUGGCGGAUAGGACAGCGUGUUGGGUUGCUCGGAUUGGGGUUCUGUAGAGAAUUGAGACAAUUUAGGGUAUGUUGGGGAGAGAAGAAGGAGAUGUUGAGAAAGGGAGAUAGGGAAGAGGAGAUUAGGGAUUAAAAGAAGGGAAAAAAAAUUGGAGAAGAUUGAGAGGAGGAAGAAGAAGGAUAAUUGAGGAGAAAGAAAAUAGUAAUUAAUUUUAUUGAUGCCCUCAUUACUCAUUAUUUACAUCCUGCUUUUUUUUAUUUUCAUUCGCAAUGUACUAACAUGCAAAUUGCAGAACAUAGUAGACUAAGUGUAAAAAGUAAUAAUAAAUUGGUAUGUAGGCCUUAAUCUGGUUAGUGUUUGGUCUCGUGGACUAGGCUUUGAGGUAUCUAAUCUAAUCUUCUGGUUGCUUAAUUUGAUGCUAGUGGAGCGGGUCUGCUACUUCCGACCACCCAAUCCGGAAUGUUGGGGGUUUAAAUACUUCCACUCAAGCCUUUCUUUGCUGGGUUUAUGUGGCGUUCUUUGAUUGUGUUCAACCUAAGCCGUCGCCAUCUCAUUCUCCGCAGCUCCAACCAGUUUGUCAUGGCUAGCUGCUUCCUUCGUGAGCGCCCUUACUCGUACCUCCUCUUUUUAUGCUUUGCCGUUUUGCUAUCACAAUAUUGUAUUACAAAGAAUAGAGAUUUUAACGGAUCGAUCAUAUUUGGGACGAGUUUUUAAAUAUUUGAAUCCGAACUCGACAACUGAACUCAAAUUCGCAUAUGUUGAUACCAAAAUUGAGCCGAUCUAAACCACGUAUGAGCCAAUAAGGACACGUGGUACACCAGGAGUCGGCAAUAAGACACCUGAAGGACAAAAAGGCGGGAACGGUUGAAGAUUAGGGCGUAACUUCCAUGAGGAGUUAGUGUAACUUCCAUUAGGAGUUAGUAAAACUUCCACGAUCAUAGUUACAACCACUCCCCCCAACUUCUUUCAACCAACUAAUAAUGUGGGCUAUAAAUAGUAAUUUUGAAGCCUGCAAUAGAGGUCUUCGCCCCUGCGCACAAAAGACUACCUUUAUUUUCUGCAUCUUCCUAUUCUCGCAUUUACCGCUUUCUCUAGGAGUGGUUCUUGUAAUUUAGCAUACUCGGAGUCUGUUUGCCCUACGGGCAUCACUCCCCUGUUCCCAUACUCGGAGUCUGUCUGCUCUACGGGCAUCACUCCCUUGUUUGUGUACUUUUUUCCUGCACAUUUCAAUAGAAAGUCACCUUCGGCUCUUCCUGCCGAUCAGAUCACAAGUUUGUCUGGCCAUUCGGCUCGUUUCUUAGUCGAGUUCCGGGCUUUCCCUCUCCAUUCGGCUCAUCCUGCCGAAGCGAAUCUACUGCAAAGGUUUUUGAACCCGGCUGAUUCGAUCCCUCAUCGGCCUAAUCGCUUGAUCCUCUGUGGGCGCAUACUUCGAGGGUCAUACUCCGCAGCCGUCUCGCACCCCGACGUUCUUCCCGAGGAGAAUUAUUGACCGGGUCAAGGGUCGGGACGUUCGGCACGCAACAGCAUACAAAUUCGAACCUGAUAGAUUCUGAAAAUCCAUAUUCAAAACUCAAUCCGACCAACAAUUCGAAGCUCGAAAAUUUGAAUCCAAAAUAAUGAUAUCUCUUUAUCGUAUUUCAAAAUAUACAAAUUAAAAUAUGACACAUCAAGAAUAUAUAUAUAUAUAUAUAUAUAUAUAUAUAUAUAUAUAUAUAUAUAUAUAUAUAUAUAUAUAUAGUGAGGCUACUAUGCUAUCGGAAGCACGGAGCCUCGCUUUAGCUCGUUUUCGAUUUGAGACUUCGAAUUCGUCGAUCGCUCCAGUUUAAAUUUUGAUCUAAGAGAUUUGAAGAUUCAAAAAUAAAUUUUUAUGAUUCUUACGUAUAUCUUGCUAUGACAAAGGGCCUCAAAUUAACGGUAAAAUAAAAAUCUUACAAAAUAAUAAUAUGGACAAUUAAAAUUAAAUCAAAUGAUAUGAUAUGUUUUAUAUUCGUAUAAAAAAAUGUUUCUAAUCAAAAUUUUUACUGAUUUGAAUAUUCUAACAAGCCGUUAAACUUGCAAAUGGCUUCACAUACGGCCAUGAAUUGUUGAUAUUUGAGCCAUUCGAUCACUAGGCAAUGAUAUGAAUAUAAAAUUUAUUUUCUAAUACUCCAAAUACUCUAGAUCAAGUCUAAGAGCCUAUCGAACGAUUCGAAGUCGGCAACAUCGAAAACGAGCUGGAACACGGGCUACGUGCUUCUGAUAGCAUAUUACCUACUCUAUCUAUAUAAUUUGUCUGAUUUUGAGCCGGCAUUCGACUACAGGCAAAUGAUAUGGAAAAAUAAUAAUAAUUUAAAUUUUCUAGAACUCCAAUACUCUACAUCAAUUAAACGGAGCCGAUCGAUCGAUCAAAUUCGCAACAUCGAAAACCGACUGGAAGACCUGAAGCUUCCGGCUUCCGAUAGCAUAAUAGCCUUAAUAAUAUAGAGUUGACGGCUAUAAAUAUACAAUGAAACACACAAUAAGCACGAGCCUGCCGUGCUUCCACUCGUUUUCGCAUGUUGGCGACUUUCGAAUGGGCUCAAAAAUCAUUUUGCCUAGUAACACAAUAGCACACACACAAAUGGACACAAUUAAUGCCAUAGUUGAGCCAUUUGCAAAUUUAAUACGGUGUACGAAAUAUCCAAAUAUGAAAUACAAAUAUAUAAUAAUAUAGAUGAUAUUGAGCCCGCAUUCUUCACUAGCAAAUAUACAGUAAAAUCAUAAAAUUUAUUUCUAGUAUCACUCAUAAUCUAGAUAAAGUUUAAUGGAGCCGAUCGAUACGAUUCGAAAGUCGCAACAUAGAAAACGAGCGGAAGCAGCGGAAGGCUCAUGACUCGUACGCAUAGUUAAGCCUCUCUCCUCUCCUCGUCUCCCGCCCGAUGGAACAAUAACAACACAACCCCACAAUAAUAAUACCAUUCGAUGCCCGCUCUACCUGCUCUUCGUCGACGUCGACUAUCUCUCCUCACUCAUCUCUCCGUGAGCAUAGGUCAAACAAUCUCACGUUGGUCGUCUCUCACUGUCUUCUCUCUUCUAUCUAUAUAUAUAUAUAUAUAUAUAUAUAUAUAUAGUUAGGCUCCUAUGCUUUUGAAAGUACGGAGGCCUCCGUGCUUGUAAGUUGUUUUCAAUGAUGGGACGUCCGAUUCGGCGAUCGGUUCCGUUAAACAUGAUUUAUGCUAUUAGAACUAUCUAGAAACCAAAUUUUAUAAUAUUUUGACUUCGUUUGCCUAGUAAAUGAAUAGCCUCAAAAUGAACGGCUGAAAAUAAAAAUCUCAUUAAAAACAAUGAUAAAUGACUCAAAUUUCAAAUCGGAAGUAUUGUUCUUGCUCUUGAUGUUAAAUAGAAUUUUCUAUUAAAGUUUCAUGUAAUUUGGAUACUUCUGCACCGUUGAACUUAAAAACGCGCCACAUCGGCCGUUAAAAUAGUCAUUUUUGAGACCCUGUAAUCGCUUGGUAAAUGAUGUCGAAAAAUUAUAAAAUUUGGUUUCUAGAUAGUUUCAAUAGCGUAGAUUAUGCCUAACGGAGCCAAUUGUCGAAUUGGAUGUCCUAUCAUCGAAAAUAACUUACAAGUACGGAGGCAUCCGUACUUUCAAAAGCACGGGAGACGUACUCAAUAUNAAAUGUUCACAGAGGUUACGGUGUGAACUUUGAUGAUAAAAUGACCAUUUUGCCUAGCCUCUCACCAUUUUGCCCCUCGUCAUGUUCACAAGAAAGAAGACUGAGGGUAUUUUUGGCAAAAAAAAAAAAAUAGGUUUUUAGAUGACGGGAGAGAAAAGUGAAAAAUCGGAUUUUGACAGGAGAGUUUUAUGUAUUUUAGCCUUAUUUUUUUAUUCUGUGUUGAAUUAGGAUUCUCGUUUUACGAGAAAGAUAUAUCUAAUUAUGGCUUAGCAAUUGUCAUUUUCAAAAAAUUUGACACUUUAUUUAAUAUAUAAUAAAAUUUAAUUUUCAAAAGAAAGAGUGAAACACAUAUGUAAAUAAUGCAAUAUUCUCUCAUAAUAAUGCAUCAUUUAUACAAAUGGUAUAAAUAUUUGUACAAAUAGUAUAAAAUAUGCACCGUUUAUACAUAUAUUGUAUAAUUUUUAAAAUAUAUUUUAAUAUAUUAUAUUCUUUUCGCGUAAUAUACUAUAAUAUACGUAAUUUAGUGUAAAAAUCAUACAAAAUGUGUAUUAACAAUGCAUAUGUUGCACUACUUAUACAGAUAUUGUACUAUUUGGAAAAAGAUGUUGCACUAUUUGAAAAGAUGUUGCACUCUUUCAUCUUAUUAAUUAAAUUUUAUUCUUUUUAUUUUGUCUUGAAUGAGAAUUUUCGUUUCACGAGAAGGGUACAUAUAAUUAUAACUUAGCAGUUGACAUUUCUAAAAAAAUUGACACUUUAUGGUUUAGCAGUUGUAUUUUUCUAGACAUUUAAAAUAUAUAAUUUUUAUGCAUUUUGAAAGAGAGAUAGUUUGGUCAUCUUUCUAAAAAUUUAGUCCGAAUCUGUAAAGUUUAAAAAAACGGCCUACUUUUACAAAAACUUAAAACUAAUAGAUUUUUUAUACAAAUUGGCCAUUUUUUUUUUCCAAUCAUCUUUUAAUUAUAAAAUAAUUAUAUAAUAAUUU